rnacentral:rRNA from 1 species
UACGUAGGGGGCAAGCGUUGUUCGGAAUUACUGGGCUUAAAGGGUGCGUAGGCGGUGCGGAAAGUUGGGUGUGAAAUCCCUCGGCUCAACCGAGGAAUUGCGCCCAAAACUGCCGUACUAGAGGAAGACAGAGGUACGCGGAACUUAGGGUGGAGCGGUGAAAUGCGUUGAUAUCCUAAGGAACACCGGUGGCGAAAGCGGCGUACUGGGUCUUAUCUGACGCUGAGGCACGAAAGCUAGGGGAGCGAACGGG